rnacentral:rRNA from 1 species
GAUGAACGCUGGCGGCGUGCCUAAUACAUGCCAGUCGAGCGAACAGAUGAGGAGCUUGCUCCUCUGACGUUAGCGGCGGACGGGUGAGUAACACGUGGAUAACCUACCUAUAAGACUGGGAUAACUUCGGGAAACCGGAGCUAAUACCGGAUAAUAUAUUGAACCGCAUGGUUCAAUAGUGAAAGACGGUUUUGCUGUCACUUAUAGAUGGAUCCGCGCCGCAUUAGCUAGUUGGUAAGGUAACGGCUUACCAAGGCAACGAUGCGUAGCCGACCUGAGAGGGGGAUAGGCAAAACUGGAACUGAGAAACGGUACAGAAUCCAACGGGAGGCAGAAGUAGGGAAACUACAGAAUGGGCGAAAGCCUGACGGAGCAACGCCGCGUGAGUGAUGAAGGUCUUCGGAUCGUAAAACUCUGUUAUUAGGGAAGAAAAAAUGUGUAAGUAACUAUGCACGUCUUGACGGUACCUAAUCAGAAAGCCACGGCUAACUACGUG